rnacentral:rRNA from 1 species
UGCAGUCGACGAGAAGUUUCCUUCGGGAAAUUAGUAAAGUGGCGCAAGGGUGAGUAUCACGUGAAUAAUCUGCCCUCGAGAUCGGGAUAACAUGGUGAAAACUAUGCUAAUACCGGAUAAGACCACAUUUCAUAAGAAAUGCGGUAAAAGGAGUCUCAAUCUUCACUUGAGGAUGAGUUCGCGCAACAUUAGCUUGUUGGUGAGAUAAAAGCUCACCAAGGCUACGAUGUUUAGCCGGCCUGAGAGGGUGAACGGCCACACUGGAACUGAGACACGGUCCAGACUCCUACGGGAGGCAGCAGUGGGGAAUAUUGCGCAAUGGGCGAAAGCCUGACGCAGCAACGCCGUGUGAGCGAUGAAGGCUUUAGGGUCGUAAAGCUCUGUCAAAUGGGAAGAAUUUUGACGGUACCAUUAGAGGAAGCCCCGGCUAACUCCGUGCCAGCAGCCGCGGUAAUACGGAGGGGGCAAGCGUUGUUCGGAAUUAUUGGGCGUAAAGCGUAUGUAGGCGGCUAAGUAAGUCAGGCGUGCAAGCCCGUGGCUCAACCACGGAAUUGCGUUUGAAACUGCUUA